rnacentral:rRNA from 1 species
AGGGCACCACCAGGAGUGGAGCCUGCGGCUUAAUUUGACUCAACACGGGAAAACUUACCCGGCCCGGACACUGGAAGGAUUGACAGAUUGAGAGCUCUUUCUUGAUUCAGUGGGUGGUGGUGCAUGGCCGUUCUUAGUUGGUGGAGCGAUUUGUCUGGUUAAUUCCGAUAACGAACGAGACUCUAGCCUACUAAAUAGACUGUUCAGCUUUAUAGCCGGAAUCACCGUAUGCAUGGCUCUCGGGUUGUGUAUGCGGCUCUGGUGACGCUGGCAGUGCUUCUUAGAGGGACAGGCGGCGGUUCAGCCGCACGAAACAGAGCAAUAACAGGUCUGUGAUGCCCUUAGAUGUCCGGGGCUGCACGCGCGCUACACUGAAGUGAUCAGCGUGCAAUUCAAGUUUGGUGAUCUGUCAAGAUUGCCCAACCCGUUGAACCUUCUUCGUGAUUGGGAUAGGGGAUUGUAAUUAUUCCCCUUGAACGAGGAAUUCCCAGUAAGCGCAAGUCAUAAGCUUGCGUUGAU